rnacentral:rRNA from 1 species
GACGAACGCUGGCGGCGUGCCUAAUACAUGCCAGUAGAACGCUGAAGGAGGAGCUUGCUUCUCCGGAUGAGUUGCGAACGGGUGAGUAACGCGUAGGUAACCUGCCUGGUAGCGGGGGAUAACUAUUGGAAACGAUAGCUAAUACCGCAUAACAGUAGAUAUUGCAUGAUAUCUGCUUGAAAGGUGCAAUUGCAUCACUACCAGAUGGACCUGCGUUGUAUUAGCUAGUUGGUGGGGUAACGGCUCACCAAGGCGACGAUACAUAGCCGACCUGAGAGGGUGAUCGGCCACACUGGGACUGAGACACGGCCCAGACUCCUACGGGAGGCAGCAGUAGGGAAUCUUCGGCAAUGGACGGAAGUCUGACCGAGCAACGCCGCGUGAGUGAAGAAGGUUGUCGGAUCGUAAAGCUCUGUUGUAAGAGAAGAACGAGUGUGAGAGUGGAAAGUUCACACUGUGACGGUAUCUUACCAGAAAGGGACGGCUAACUACGUG